rnacentral:rRNA from 1 species
GGGCCCGCACAAGCGGAGGAACAUGUGGUUUAAUUCGAUGAUACGCGAGGAACCUUACCUGGGUUUAAAUGUAGAUUGCAUGAAGUGGAAACAUUUCUUUCCUUCGGGACUAUUUACAAGGUGCUGCAUGGUUGUCGUCAGCUCGUGCCGUGAGGUGUCGGGUUAAGUCCCAUAACGAGCGCAACCCCUAUCUUUAGUUGCCAUCAGGUAAAGCUGGGGACUCUAGAGAGACUGCCACCGUAAGGUGUGAGGAAGGGGGGAUGACGUCAAAUCAGCACGGCCCUUACAUCCAGGGCUACACACGUGUUACAAUGGCCGGUACAGAGGGUCGCUAAAUAGUAAUAUUGUGCCAAUCUCAAAAACCGGUCCCAGUUCGGAUUGGAGUCUGUAACCCGACUCCAUGAAGUUGGAUUCGCUAGUAAUCGCGCAUCAGCCAUGGCG